rnacentral:rRNA from 1 species
GAUGAACGCUGGCGGCGUGCUUAACACAUGCAAGUCGAGCGAAGCACUUAUCAAUGACUCUUCGGAAGAAUUGAUAUUUGACUGAGCGGCGGACGGGUGAGUAACGCGUGGGUAACCUGCCUCAUACAGGGGAAUAACAGUUAGAAAUGGCCGCUAAUGCCGCAUAAGCGCACAGUACCGCAUGGUCCGGUGUGAAAAACUGAGGUGGUAUGAGAUGGACCCGCGUCUGAUUAGGUAGUUGGUGAGGUAACGGCUCACCAAGCCGACGAUCAGUAGCCGGCCUGAGAGGGUGGACGGCCACAUUGGGACUGAGACACGGCCCAGACUCCUACGGGAGGCAGCAGUGGGGAAUAUUGCACAAUGGGGGAAACCCUGAUGCAGCGACGCCGCGUGAAGGAAGAAGUAUCUCGGUAUGUAAACUUCUAUCAGCAGGGAAGAAAAUGACGGUACCUGACUAAGAAGCCCCGG